rnacentral:rRNA from 1 species
CAGUCGCCACGGUAAAACGAAGGGUGCAAGCGUUAAUCGGAGUUACUGGGCGUAAAGCGUGCGUAGGCGGCGUGGUAAGUCAGAUGUGAAAUCCCGGGGCUCAACCCCGGAACUGCAUCCGAUACUGCCAUGCUAGAGGAUUGGAGAGGUAGCUGGAAUUCUUGGUGUAGCAGUGAAAUGCGUGGAGAUCAAGAGGAACACUCGUGGCGAAAGCGAGCUACUGGACAAUAACUGACGCUGAGGCUCGAAGGCCAGGGUAGCGAAAGGGAUUAGAUACCCCAGUAGUCCCUGUCUCUUAUAC